GCUUACGACCACACCGGCCUGAGUACGCCUGAUCUCGUCUGAUCUCGGAAGCUAAGCAGGGUCGGGCCUGGUUAGUACUUGGAUGGGAGAUCACUUGGGAAAACCAGGUGCUGUAAGCU
rnacentral:rRNA from 1 species